rnacentral:rRNA from 1 species
GACGAACGCUGGCGGCGUGCUUAACACAUGCAAGUCGAACGGAAAUGCCCUGCUUUUGUGGGGUGCUCUAGUGGCGAACUGGUGAGUAACACUUGAGUAACCUGCCCUUGACUUUGGGAUAACUUCAUGAAACUGGGGCUAAUACCGGAUAGGAGCUCCUGCUUCUUGGUGGGGGUUGGAAAGUUUCGGCGGUUGGGGAUGGACUCGCGGCUUAUCAGCUUGUUGGUGGGGUAGUGGCUUACCAAGGCUUUGACGGGUAGCCGGCCUGAGAGGGUGACCGGACAAAUUGGGACUGGAAUACGGCACAGACUCCUACGGGAGGCAGCGGUGGAGAAUAUUGCACAAUGGGCGGAAGCAUGAUGCAGCAAAGCCGCGUGCGGGAUGACGGCCUUCGGGUCGUAAACCGAUUUCGCCUGUGACGAAGCGUGAGUGACGGUAAUGGGUAAAGAAGCACCGGCUAACUACGUG